UCCCUGGUGGUCCAGUGGUUAGGACUCUGCACUUUCACUGCUGGGGGCCCAGGUUCCAUCCCUGGUCCAGAAA
rnacentral:tRNA from 1 species